rnacentral:tRNA from 3 species
UGGCUGGAUAGCUCAACUGGUUAGAGCGCUCGGUUCAUACCCGGGAGGUUCAGAGUUCAAAUCUCUGUCCAGCCACCAU